rnacentral:rRNA from 1 species
GACAGAGGGUGCAAACGUUGUUCGGAAUUACUGGGCGUAAAGCGCGUGUAGGCGGCUUUGCAAGUCGGGCGUGAAAUCCCACGGCUCAACCGUGGAAGUGCACUCGAAACUGCAGAGCUAGAGUCCUGGAGAGGAAAGUGGAAUGCUUGGUGUAGAGGUGAAAUUCGUAGAUAUCAAGCGGAACACCGGUGGCGAAGGCGGCCUUCUGGACAGUGACUGACGCUGAAACGCGAAAGCGUGGGGAGCAAACAGA